CAGAGAGUGUCUUCCUGAGGAGUGGUUCUGUGGGGACUGUGAUGUAUUGCAUCACAAAAAACAGCCACUCCACAACAGGGAAUGUGUGAAUAAUGUUUUUUUUAAGCCAUUCCUCCAAACGCAUGUGUCAUUAAAGGACAAGAUGGAUAUUUCAUCCAUGAGCAAGCUUGCAUUUUGCCAACAGUGAAGGCGCCAGACUGCUCCUGUGAAGGCACAAACUUCACCAUAUUACUGGGCAAACCAGUGAUUUUAAUUCCCAUCAAUGGGCGUUUUGACUUGCAUCAGCCACUAUGUAUGUCAAACGUGCCAGCAUCAGUGGAUCCCUGACUUGAAGGACCUCCUUAGGAGUGGAUAUUGGCCUGCCUCUGUCACCAGUUCCACACUUUAUACAUUGGAUCUCCUGAGCUCCUUUCAGGAACUCAAGGUCAUCUCUCCGGGAUUCUCCAGACAAGCCUUCGCAAAGCUGCUGGACUAUCGCACUAAGAUUGGAGGAAGAUCUGAACAAAUCAACGGCGAUACACUACAGCACAGCUUCUUAGAGUUUUCAUAUGCUUCAUUUGAGGAAGACCAGCUCUGCUAUGGUGCUCCUUUCACCUGCCCAGCCUGCACGCUGGAAAUGUUGGCUGUUUCAGCCGAUGGAAACAGAAAGCUAUAUCGCUUUCGCAGAGACA